UACGUAGGGUGCAAGCGUUGUCCGGAAUUAUUGGGCGUAAAGAGCUCUUAGGCGGCUUGUCGCGUCGGCUGUGAAAACCUGGGGCUCAACCCCGGGCCUGCAGCCGAUACGGGCAAGCUAGAAUUCGGUAGGGGAGACUGGAAUUCCUGGUGUAGCGGUGAAAUGCGCAGAUAUCAGGAGGAACACCGGUGGCGAAGGCGGGUCUCUGGGCCGAUAUUGACGCUGAGGAGCGAAAGCGUGGGGAGCGAACAGG
rnacentral:rRNA from 1 species